rnacentral:pre_miRNA from 1 species
AUUGAUUAUAGUUAUCUAAUUUGAAAACCUCCAAAGUGAUUGUGAAUAAAAGUUUUAUUAAUUUAAUCACAGUCAGCAUUGGUGGUUUGAAAGUAGAGUGAUCUUACAAUCGAA